GAGAGGUGGGGGUAGGGAAGGGGGAGGGGAGGCUGGCGCCAAAAUCCGGCUUGGCCUCGCGGAACGAACUAUCCCUCCCCAACCCCUGGCUCGGGGAAGCUUCCCAUACUACACACGGGGGUGGUCCGUUAGGUUCGAGCACCCACACUGCGUUGGGGGAAGGGUCCUGAUAAACAAGAGACUUGGAGGGCAUUCCCUGGACUCGUGACCAUGAGGGACCCCUACCCCAUCUCCACAGACUGGGAUUUGACCCGUCCUAGUACUCGGGAAUUCUCCACAGGCCCAGCCGAGCACAACAUUUGAGAAAUGUUGGUUGACCCUCCACUGACCUAAAGACUAGUAAAGAGAGGAAGUCCAACUCCAAGAGGUGGCUAUCAAACGUGUUUUGGGGCAAGAGUUGCAAAUUGAUGUCUCCGGUUUAAUGUGUCUAAACAAUAAAGAGUGUUCUAGCACAUCCUGCCUCAUCUGUAAAAGGAAGGGAUUGGACUCAUCAUGAGCCCUAAAUUACCUUCUAUCUUUAGAUCGAGGAUCCUCUCCAAAUAUCUGUGAUCUCUUCAGUGGGGCCAUGGCCUGCACCAUGCUAUUCCUAUGAGUUUGCCACAAGGAACCAUCCGACAUGCUGGGGACUUUCCUAAGUUCUCCUGAAGUCCCUGGGCUGCUGCCAAAGGAAGACAAAACCUGUCUGUACUUCACUCUGUCUACAUGGCCAGCUCAUCUUCACUAACAGUUCGUUUCUAUGCAGUGGUCCUUCCUAAUUUGUAAUGUGGGCCAGCCUGUUCCUCUCUUUCUCACAAUUGCCCUUUGUGCAAUCCUCACCUUCAAUGCUUGAGGGACUGGAAGUCAGGUAUUUAAAGCUAUUUGGCAUCAGAAGAACGAAAUGUUGGAAUAAAAAAUGGAUCUUUGUUCCAGGCACAGGCUACGACCAAUUAAAACAAUUUUGCCCUGUCCCAAAAGCAAUCCAGUUUGUCAGCCUCCUCCUCUCUCCACUCUGAGCCCAAGUCAUUGUCCAUCUUCAGUGUUAGUUCAUGAUGAAUGACUUCUAUAGAGUUUCUGGCAUCCUACUGUGGACAAUAAACACACAAGCAUUUUUAUCCA